AGAAGCAGAGGCACAGCUUUGGGCCGGCGUUCCAGACCCGGGACUGGCGCAUCCACCUCCGGGAAUCCACAUCCAGUCCGGACGGCCCCUGAGGCUAAAAUACUUGAGUGCGGAAACUGUCUCAGAUCCUCUCAUUUCUCGAGUGAAAACAAACGUCUGAAGCAGCUACGGGAACUCACUGCGUCCCUAAGCGCCCCCCACCCCCAACCCACCCCAGUUCCCAGUUUUCCCACAACUCCAGAAGCAACCCGGUGCCUUUUCCGGCGCAGGACACACGCACACGAGCGGCUGACUCGCGCGCAGUGCUCCGGGCUCGGUUGCGGGAGCAGGACCGACACCAGCCCAGCAAGCUCCGGACAGGCCACUCGGACUCUCCGCCCCGCGGACCCCAGCGUCCCCAUUGCCGCGGCCGCCAACAGUCCCCUCGACGGUAGCCCCGGCCGGACUGCAAGAAGUCGACGUUCUGCGAGGGGGCGGCGGGGCGCAGGACGCUGGCAGCAGCAGCCCGGAGCCCCCGAGCCCUCGGCAGGUUUGCCCGUCCUUCCCCGCGAUCUGAUUGGAUAA
rnacentral:lncRNA from 1 species